rnacentral:rRNA from 1 species
CCUACGGGAGGCAGCAGUGGGGAAUAUUGCGCAAUGGGCGAAAGCCUGACGCAGCAACGCCGCGUGAGGGAUGACGGCCUUCGGGUUGUAAACCUCUUUCAGCAGGGAAGAAGCGAAAGUGACGGUACCUGCAGAAGAAGCACCGGCUAACUACGUGCCAGCAGCCGCGGUAAUACGUAGGGUGCAAGCGUUGUCCGGAUUUAUUGGGCGUAAAGAGCUCGUAGGCGGUUAGUCACGUCGGAUGUGAAAUCCCGGAGCUUAACUCCGGGCCUGCAUUCGAUACGGGCUGACUCGAGUAUUGUAGGGGAGACUGGAACUCCUGGUGUAGCGGUGAAAUGCGCAGAUAUCAGGAAGAACACCGGUGGCGAAGGCGGGUCUCUGGGCAAUUACUGACGCUGAGGAGCGAAAGCGUGGGGAGCAAACNGGAUUAGGAUACCCUGGUAGUCCACGCCGUAAACGGUGGGCGCUAGGUGUGGGGACCCUUCCACGGUCUCCGUGCCGCAGCUAACGCAUUAAGCGCCCCGCCUGGGGAAUCGGCCGCAAGGCUAAACUUAAGGAUUGACGG